AUUGAACGCUGGCGGCAUGCCUUACACAUGCAAGUCGAACGGCAGCACGGGAGCAAUCCUGGUGGCGAGCGGCGAACGGGGGCGUAACGUAUCGGAACGUGCCCAGUCGUGGGGGAUAACGUAGCGAAAGUUACGCUAAUACCGCAUACGAUCUAUGGAUGAAAGCGGGGGAUCGCAAGACCCCGCGCGAUUGGAGCGGCCGAUAUCAGAUUAGGUAGUUGGUGGGGUAACGGCGCACCAAGCCGACGAUCUGUAGCUGGUCGGAGAGGACGACCAGCCACACUGGGACUGAGACACGGCCCAGACUCCUACGGGAGGCAGCAGUGGGGAAUUUUGGACCAUGGGCGAAAGCCUGAUCCAGCCAUGCCGGGUGCAGGAUGAAGGCCUUCGGGUUGUAAACUGCUUUUGUACGGAACGAAAAGGUUUGGCCUAAUAAGCUGAGCUCAUGACGGUACCGUAAGAAUAAGCACCGGCUAACUACGUGCCAUCCGCCGCCGUAA
rnacentral:rRNA from 1 species